AGGCAACAAUGGUAAAUGAAAGACUCAAAGUAACUGGCAUUUGCCUUAUCCAUGAUCAGGACGGUUGCUUUGGUGAUGUCUGUUUUGCUCCGUGACUGAGGGAAAGAAAACACGACUGGCUCAGAGAUGAUUUCUCCUUCAGAGCAGUCUGAUGCGUCAAUUAUUUCAGGCCUAGAGACACCAUGGAAGAAGGUGUAAAUGCACAGCAGCCAUCUUCUGGAAAACAUAAAGCAAAUAGGUAAGUAUCACAUCUGGCUGUGAAUU